rnacentral:rRNA from 1 species
UACGUAGGGGGCAAGCGUUGUCCGGAUUUAUUGGGCGUAAAGAGCGUGUAGGCGGCCAGGUAGGUCCGUUGUGAAAACUCGAGGCUCAACCUCGAGACGUCGGCGGAAACCCUCGUGGCUAGGAGUCCGGAAGAGGAGAGUGGAAUUCCUGGUGUAGCGGUGAAAUGCGCAGAUAUCAGGAAGAACACCCGUGGCGAAGGCGGCUCUCUGGGGACGGUACUGACGCUGAGACGCGAAAGCGUGGGGAGCAAACAGG